rnacentral:tRNA from 1 species
GGAGAGAUGGCCGAGUGGUCGAUGGCGCACGCUUGGAAAGCGUGUGUGGGGCAACUCACCGUGGGUUCGAAUCCCACUCUCUCCGCCA